GAUGAACGCUGGCGGUAUGCUUAACACAUGCAAGUCGAACGGACUCUUCGGAGUUAGUGGCGGACGGGUGAGUAACGCGUGAGAAUCUGGCUUUGGGUUCGGGACAACCACUGGAAACGGUGGCUAAUACCGGAUGUGCCGAGAGGGAAAAGAGAAAUUGCCUGAAGAUGAGCUCGCGUCUGAUUAGCUAGUUGGUGAGGUAAAGGCUCACCAAGGCAGCGAUCAGUAGCUGGUCUGAGAGGAUGACCAGCCACACUGGGACUGAGACACGGCCCAGACUCCUACGGGAGGCAGCAGGGGGGAAUUUUCCGCAAUGGGCGAAAGCCUGACGGAGCAAUACCGCGUGAGGGAAGAAGGCUCUUGGGUUGUAAACCUCUUUUCUUAGGGAAGAACAAAAUGACGGUACCUAAGGAAUCAGCAUCGGCUAACUCCGU
rnacentral:rRNA from 1 species